rnacentral:lncRNA from 1 species
UUUAAUUGUAUGAAGCCUUUUGGUAUCAUAGCAGUUGUAUCUUUCCUUCAGUACAAAUAUCUCCAUGUUCUGCAGAUCCAUUUGCGACUGAGGAGGACUGAGAAAAUGUUGGAGCCCUGUGCAAGUGGUUUGUGUGGACUUCCAAGGCACAACACCUCUACUCAACCUUCAUCAUUAUGCUCACUUAAUUUGUUUUUCUCUAAGUGUUUUCUUGGCAGGUAGAAGUUGCAAUGUGCAGUCCUGUGGCAGAUUUUACCUGGAGCCAAUGUUUUUUUUCUGAUACGUAUAGCUUAUCAGCAAACUUUUUCAGACACAUGCUGUUCUGUACAAUGGAGAGAUUUAAAGGACAUCCUACUGGUGCCACUCCAGAAGACUGCGAGUCCAUAGAGACUGUGUGACAUAUCUCCCAGCCUCGUAUAGAUGUCUCAGAUACUCCAAAUCAUCACAAAGGGCAACAGAUGCCUACACCAAGAACAAGAAAAGUAUAAUCGCCAGCAUCAGCAAACCUGUCUCUUGUUUUUCACAGGUAAUUGCACAGAGCUGAGGAACCUGUCAGAGGUGGUCUGCGUUCAGGCUCUGCAGCAUGUAACCAGUUGCUGGGAGAAACUCCCAAAGGUUGCUUGUUGCAGGAGCUUUUGCAGAGAGAUUAUAAAAAACAACACCUGUAAAACAAUUAACAAGAGAA